AACGAACGCUGGCGGCGUGCCUAACACAUGCAAGUCGUGCGAGAAAGUCCCUUCGGGAGCGAGUAAAGCGGCGCACGGGUGAGUAACACGUAGGUAACCUGCCCCCCAGUCUGGAACAACUAGAGGAAACUCUAGCUAAUGCCGGAUGAGACCACGAUCCCUUCGGGGGUUGCGGCCAAAGAUGGCCUCUACUUGUAAGCUAUCGCUGAGGGAUGGGCCUGCGGGCCAUUAGCUUGUUGGUGAGGUAACGGCUCACCAAGGCUGUGAUGGCUAGCUGGUCUGAGAGGAUGACCAGCCACACUGGGACUGAGACACGGCCCAGACUCCUACGGGAGGCAGCAGUGGGGAAUAUUGCGCAAUGGGCGAAAGCCUGACGCAGCGACGCCGCGUGGGUGAUGAAGGCCU
rnacentral:rRNA from 1 species